rnacentral:rRNA from 1 species
CCUACGGGAGACAGCAGUGAGGAAUAUUGGUCAAUGGGCGCGAGCCUGAACCAGCCAAGUAGCGUGAAGGAUGACUGCCCUACGGGUUGUAAACUUCUUUUAUAAAGGAAUAAAGUGAGGCACGUGUGCCUUUUUGUAUGUACUUUAUGAAUAAGGAUCGGCUAACUCCGUGCCAGCAGCCGCGGUAAUACGGAGGAUCCGAGCGUUAUCCGGAUUUAUUGGGUUUAAAGGGAGCGUAGAUGGGUUGUUAAGUCAGUUGUGAAAGUUUGCGGCUUAACCGUCAAAUUGCAAUUGAAACUGGGAGUCUUGAGUACAGGUGAGGUAGGCGGAAUUCGUGGUGUAGCGGUGAAAUGCUUAGAUAUCACGAAGAACUCCGAUUGCGAAGGCAGCUUACCAAACUGCAACUGACAUUGAUGCUCGAAAGUGUGGGUAUCGAACAGGAUUAGAUACCCGGGUAGUC